AUGCACGCUGGCGGCGUGCCUAAUACAUGCAAGUCGAGCGAACAGACGAGGAGCUUGCUCCUCUGACGUUAGCGGCGGACGGGUGAGUAACACGUGGAUAACCUACCUAUAAGACUGGGAUAACUUCGGGAAACCGGAGCUAAUACCGGAUAAUAUAUUGAACCGCAUGGUUCAAUAGUGAAAGACGGUUUUGCUGUCACUUAUAGAUGGAUCCGCGCCGCAUUAGCUAGUUGGUAAGGUAACGGCUUACCAAGGCAACGAUGCGUAGCCGACCUGAGAGGGUGAUCGGCCACACUGGAACUGAGACACGGUCCAGACGCCUACGGGAGGCAGCAGUAGGGAAUCUUCCGCAAUGGGCGAAAGCCUGACGGAGCAACGCCGCGUGAGUGAUGAAGGUCUUCGGAUCGUAAAACUCUGUUAUUAGGGAAGAACAAAUGUGUAAGUAACUAUGCACGUCUUGACGGUACCUAAUCAGAAAGCCACGGCUAACUACGUG
rnacentral:rRNA from 1 species